ACUAGAACAAGAACUUCCGCCACCUCGUCCGAAAAAGCAAAAACAGCAAAGGAAAGACAAAACUGAAUCUGUCGAGACAUCGAUUGCUGUUGAUCCAAAAGUAAUGUCCAGCCCAGGUGUGACCACAAGGAGUAUGGCAUCCCUCUCUCCAGCAAGCCCUGGUGUGACAACAAGGAGGAUGGCAUCCCUCUCUCCAGCAAGCCCAGGUGUGACAACAAGGAGGAUGGCAUCAAUAUCACCUGGAGGAAUUAACCGCAGGCUUAUCAUCGAGUAGUUGUCGUAGUCUAAUCUCAGUAUGUGUGGUCAGUACUGAACUAUGGCCAUAUCUGUUAGUGUCUUGUGAACUAUGGUCUUUUGCCAACUUGCUAAUUGUUGUGAAUUUCCAUGACAGCUUAGAUUUAUGUUAUAUGCUGAGAUGUUGGCUGUUAUGUCAUCUUGAACUUCUGUUGUACUCCUAUGUGAUAUAGCAAGUUGAAAUCUUCUCA